AUAGGAUUCCUUGCAUUUUGAAGAGCUGAAAGAAGUGUGCAAUGUAGCCUGAUCCUGACUCUUCGGAGCUGAAAAAAGUUGCCAGAUUAACAGAGCAUGAACUCAGAGACUAGAACCACUGAUGGAAGUUCGGUCCCAACUAGUUAGGUCACAGGGAUUUGAAAGCUUGUGUUAUGGCUCCACCAUUUGAGAAUUAUUCUAGCAGCCAUAUCCGGGUCAUGUGAGAGGGGAAGUGAGGAAAUCAGAGAUCAAGGAAGAUGCAAACAGUCCAAAAUGGCAAAAGCCAAGAUACUCGUUUAUAUUGACAUGAGUCCUUGGGAUUUAUGAUCGAAAUGGGACAUGGAGAAUGCUGGAGUCAUGCUCAUUUCAUGCCAACUACAUGUGAAGAGAAACAGAAGCUCUUUAAAGGUGGAGCCCAAACCACUUGGGAUUCUGUGCUGCUUGAUUCAUCAAUUGCUGUCUGCUCAAAUAAACUCUUCAAAGUUUUAA